CCUACGGGUGGCAGCAGUGGGGAAUAUUGGGCAAUGUGCGCAAGCCUGACCCAGCAACGCCGCGUGAAGGAAGAAGGCGUUCGGGGUGUAAACUUCUUUUAAGGGGGAAGAGCAGAAGACGGUACCCCUUGAAUAAGCCACGGCUAACUACGUGCCAGCAGCCGCGGUAGUACGUAGGUGGCAAGCGUUGUCCGGAUUUACUGGGUGUAAAGGGCGUGCAGCCGGAGAGACAAGUCAGAUGUGAAAUCCAAGGGCUCAACCCGUGAACUGCAUUUGAAACUGUUUCCCUUGAGUGUCGGAGAGGUAAUCGGAAUUCCUUGUGUAGCGGUGAACUGCGUAGAUAUAAGGAAGAACACCAGUGGCGAAGGCGGAUUACUGGACGAUAACUGACGGUGAGGCGCGAAAGCGUGGGGAGCAAACAGGAUUAGAUACCCCAGUAGUC
rnacentral:rRNA from 1 species